UAGAAGCACACGCUCUAAUUUCUAUUUGUUGAAAAUACAACUGGUCUGUUUGGGGGGCUUCAUCCAAAGAGAUGGGGAACAAUGCUGGUGAUGUCAGCUAUAGCAUUUGUCCAGCCUUUCUUGCAAAAGUUUCAUAAUUCAGUGAUGACUUCAGUGUUGAUGGUUAUCAAGUAAGACAGGUCAGCUGCUAUGUUGAGGACUAUGUGGCAAUGAGUUGAGGGAGACCUGUGAGGAAGGCUGUGAAGAACUGAACCCUUAACAAAGCCUUGGGUCAGUAACCUAUGAGAAACUAAAUCCUGCCAACAACCACCUGAGCAAGCUUGGAAGUGUUGUUGCUACAAUCGAGCGUUCAGCUAUGUUUGCUGACAGAAAAGCAUUUGAGAUGCAUUGCUAGAUUUUAAAAGGAGUUUACGAAGCAAAAAGAGCAAGGCGAGCAAGAGAACCAUUGGAGCCUCCCGAGGACAUGCUCCAAGUGGAGUUCUUCUAACACCGAUGCCAGCACAGUACCCAGCAAACCUGUCUCGAAAGUACCGCUCCUCUGAUGCACACUACAGUCCCACACUGUGCUACAGGCUACGUCCUUUAUGGUUGAUCCUCACAACAACCUCAGAUUGAAGAUGAGGGAGGGUGUUUAACAAAUGAGGCUUGGAUUCAAACCCAGAUUCUUCUUCCCAAACCAAAAAGUUUGGAGAAUAAACUGACCAAAUCAAAGAAUGACAGAAUGAAUCAUGGAAAGAUUAUAGGACUAUACCAGACUGAGAAGUACCACAGUGAAUAUGGAACUCGUAACUCAGGGAGACACCCUUAUUCUCUCACAGCAGCUGAGCAAGAGAGGGGAAGUGGGCUCAGGUGUUGAGUCCUGAUUUCUUGACUGCAGGUAUACAAUAGGAGAUAGGCACUGGAAAGAUUAUUAGUGAUCACACAGUUCACUGUUUUUCAAAUGGUAAAUUGUAAAUUAGUGGAUCUUGACACCAAUGUAGUGAGUCACAACUCAGAUAUUUCUUUACAAAUAGUGAACUGGAAUAGAAUGGAAUAUGGAAAAAAACAGACAUAAUGCAUGUUGUGGAGGUCCCUAUGUUUUUUGUGAAACACAAUUUCAGUUGUAUUUUAUAUACACAGAAAUGUCUGCAUUGAGUUGCACUGCAAUAAUAUAAA